UACGGAGGGAGCUAGCGUUGUUCGGAAUCACUGGGCGUAAAGCGCGCGUAGGCGGCUACUCAAGUCAGAGGUGAAAGCCCGGGGCUCAACCCCGGAACUGCCUUUGAAACUAGGUAGCUAGAAUCUUGGAGAGGCGAGUGGAAUUCCGAGUGUAGAGGUGAAAUUCGUAGAUAUUCGGAAGAACACCAGUGGCGAAGGCGACUCGCUGGACAAGUAUUGACGCUGAGGUGCGAAAGCGUGGGGAGCAAACAGGAUUAGAAACCCUGGUAGUCC
rnacentral:rRNA from 1 species